rnacentral:rRNA from 1 species
GAUGAACGCUGGCGGCGUGCCUAAUACAUGCAAGUCGAGCGAACGGACGAGAAGCUUGCUUUUCUGAUGUUAGCGGCGGACGGGUGAGUAACACGUGGAUAACCUACCUAUAAGACUGGGAUAACCUCGGGAAACCGGCGCUAAUACCGGAUAAUAUUUUGAACCGCAUGGUUCAAAAGUGAAAGACGGUCUUGCUGUCACUUAUAGAUGGAUCCGCGCUGCAUUAGCUAGUUGGUAAGGUAACGGCUUACCAAGGCAACGAUGCAUAGCCGACCUGAGAGGGUGAUCGGCCACACUGGAACUGAGACACGGUCCAGACUCCUACGGGAGGCAGCAGUAGGGAAUCUUCCGCAAUGGGCGAAAGCCUGACGGAGCAACGCCGCGUGAGUGAUGAAGGUCUUCGGAUCGUAAAACUCUGUUAUUAGGGAAGAACAUAUGUGUAAGUAACUGUGCACAUCUUGACGGUACCUAAUCAGAAAGCCACGGCUAACUACGUG